CUCUCCCCGCAAGCCGCGUGCACGUCGCGCCAUUUGCGGGGGCGUGGGUAACCUUGCCGUCGAAAGCCCCUCGGCCCAGUCAAAUCGCCCGCACUCCGCAGCCCUCCCUCCCUCCUCGAUCUCUCUCCCUCAGCCGCCACAAACCCUAGGUCCCUUUCCUACGAUACCGUGGUCUUUGCCCCUGCUCCAUCCGACCUCCAUGGCGGACGAGGGCCCGAUCCGCGCCGACGCCGUGCCGGCGGCGGCCGGGGCGGGCGCGGAGAGGGCCGAUGCGGCGGCUGCGGGCGGGGUGGCGGCGGCCAAGGCCAGGGAGGACGAGGUUGGCCACGGGCGGGGCGGCGGCGGCCAAGGCUAGGAAGGACGAGGUCAGGGAGUACAAGAGUGACGUGAGGAAGCUGGAGGAGCUGUUCAAGAAGCUGAACCCCUCCGUGGAGGAGUUCGUGCCGCUCUUCCUUCGCCAGGAGGACAGCGCAUGCCGCCUGUCGGCCGACGCGCUCGUCUUUGCCUCGCCCGCGAUCGACUACUAUGCUCCUCCGUCCACCGACUCUGUCCGUGCAGGUCGCCAGUUUCCUUUCGCGCCAACCUUCUCCACUGUCUCCCCAGUUCAUCCUCCGUCCCUUGCUGCUCGAGAUUCUCAUCUGCUCAGGCUGCGAGGAAGACACGUGAGGAGGAGAGACCUCGUCUCGAGAAGCCCGGAGGAGGGGCUGAAACAGAGAGGAGCAGAUGCCAGCCAGGUAGUCGGCUCGGCUUGACACCGUCCUUCGUGUCUGGGCCGCGGCAGACCCUAGCACCAUCCUUAAGGUGUCUUCACGGCUGCAGGAGUGUAUGUGAGCCCCCCACCAUCUCUCACUCUCCCGUCAUCACCUGGUAUUGCACUUCUACCCCCUGGCUUGAACCUGAAACCUCCAUGUGCUCUGUAGGUGUAGAUUCAGACGUCACCAAAGCCCUUUUUGUGGGAUUUACAAAAUUCAUUCAGUAACAUUGUAAAUGGGUGUAAAUUCAGACGUUGCCAAAGCCAAGUUUGUCCUACUGAUUUCCUUGGUAUUCCAUAUAUUAUGUGCCCUGUAGGCCUUAUUGCUUUCCUAGCUUGGUAAGUUAGUAUGCAUGAAUUUUGUGGGUGUGGGUGCAUUUGGAUGCUGACUUAGAUGUCAUCCCAUCUUGCUUCCAUGUUUUUUCUUCACCAUGUUAUCUUUAGCCUUCCACGCCACUGAUUUGGUUGGUUUAUUUCCUUGAAUAGUUCUCCUUGUUUGCCACUGAUAAAUACAACGAUUAUGUGAUGUCUGUAUUUAUUGUUUUAGCUAAUGUGUCUCUUUUAUUAUUAUUAUCAUCCUCUAUGGUUAAUCACACAUUUCAUUGUUGUGCUUCGGAGUCUAUGGUGUACUACAUGCAACAUGAUACAAUCCACAAUGGUUAAUAAAAACUAAAUAUGAUAGCAAAUGAAAACUAUUGUGAUGCAUUGAACUAUGAUGGACACAUAAAAAAGGCGUACAAUAACUUCUAACUUUAUUCCACUGAUGACAAGCCUGAUUAUUCCUACCUUAAGCGACUGUUACGUGACCUCUUUAUCCAUGAAGGUUUGAUUUUGUUUUCAUUCUUGAAGAGGAUUAGGAAGUAUUAUUUUCCUCUUCAUACUUAAAUCUACGAGAUAUUAACUUCCCUCGUCUAUACUUGAUCGAAACCUGUUGCAUUCUGUGUAUUAUUGAAGUACCAACAUCCAAAAUGCUUUAAAGGUUAUAGCCGUAAGGUUCAUCAGAAUAAUGCCUUGCAGGUUUUCAGUUUGACUAUGUAUUUGACUGGACAAUAUUGAAGUACCAGCAAUCUCAAAUUGCUGGUGCUCUGCCUCGUGUUGCAGACCUUUUGGGUUGACACCACCUGUAUUGCAGAAUGAUAGUCAAUCUGGUAAUUUGUUUAUUUUGAUCAGUCCUUACGAGUAUUACUAUUACUGUUUUCAGGCAAUAUUGAUGAGUAAUUGGCUUAUAAUAAAGUUGCCAGAAAGUUUCUUUGCUUCUAUGGCUAACUUGAACCAGAUGGUCACCGGUUGGUCCUCCUCUUCUCUCCUCGCGCCAUCGUCCUCCUCCUCAUCCAUCUCUCGAUUCAGCCAAGACAAUGGGGAUCAAGACUGUGUUAUGUUGAAAAAAGGAAAGAGACUACUCUUUUGUUACUUACAGUACAGAUAUAUGCUAUAACAUUACCGUUAUGCUCUCUUUGGAUUUCAUUUUAUGUCUACCAACAAGAAAGUCACUAAUAUCAAUGCCUACGAAUUAUUUUGAAAGAGACUACUCUUUUGUUACUUACAGUACAGAUAUAUGCUAUAACAUUACCGUUAUGCUCUCUUUGGAUUUCAUUUUAUGUCUACCAACAAGAAAGUCACUAAUAUCAAUGCCUACGAAUUAUUUUGUUCGCCAUUCUAAUCGUGACAGCAGAGAGCAAUGGAUAUAGAAGAAAUAUGUAAACAAUUGUCCCUUAGAAGAAAUAUGCAACAACUUAUUCAGGUUACUUCUGAAUUAAUAACGCCUCUGUAUCGUUACAUACACAUACUUAGAAUGUGCUCUUGGUUUGGUUUGGAUUACUCGUGUUUUUUUAUUUUGACUGCAAAAUAACUUCUCUUUUCAACACACUUAGUGCGUGAUCUAGCCAUCACAUUAUAAUAGAGUAAGUGAGAAAAAGCUCUUUAUUUGAAUGACCAAGAAUCCGUGGUGUGCUCCUCAACUGCAAGGAACACUCCACUAUGAAACUCACUUAAGUAGGCUGGUAGAUCGAUGCUACUUCCGUUAUUAUUAUUUUUUAUUGCCUAAGCGCCGAACAAACACUCUUGCAUUGGAGAUGCCCUGAUUAGCUUCUUCUACAAAUUUGUCCCAAUGCAAUUAGCAGGCUAGCAUAUUCGAAAAAUGAAAUUUUGAAUGACAUAUAGCAGGAUAUGCAUGUAUUCCUACUCCUAUCUUGUAUGGACAAAUAGAUCUAACAGCUGACCUUCUUGCUUGCAGUGGUACAGGUGUGAUCUUCAUGGAGCUAGCAAUCAUUGGAUUUGGUAAUACAUAAUCACUUAUUCAGAGAGCCCAAGGUGAGAAGGGACGAGCAUCUAGAACACCACCACCUACUAAUCAUUGAGCUACUAUCUGUCUUUGAAUGAGUUACUUAACAAGAGAAGGCAGGUAGCAAUAGAACACGUGCAAUCUCAAUGUUUACUAAUUAUCUAUUUCUGAAUUUAUUCGUUCCCAACUGCUCUGAAUCUGGGUGUUUUGCUUGAUGCUUUGUAGGAGUUUCCUACCUUUCUUCUGCAAAUCUGGAAUGCCUUUAUGGCAUGAUCUCGUGAAAAAAGUACCUUUGAUGCAGUAAUGGAUUUGAUUAUCACUGGUUACUCUGUUUUCACGAAUUACUAUCCAACUGUAAGUCUGUUCUAUACCCUAAGGCCCAUGUAAAUCUGAUAGAAGAUUAAGCUAUUUAAUUUAAACUAAAAAGGAUAAUAUUCUUUCACUCGCUUGAAUCUGUCCAGACCUGAAAAAUACUUAUACUUUGAAAGCUUGAUAUAUGAGUAUGUAAUUUUACAGGUAUGUAAAUAGCCGACAAUGUUAUUGUUCAAAUGUACUCGAGCCAGGUUUCGGUGUUUCAUUGCAACCAAAAGAAUUGGUAAUAUUGUUUUGAUGAAAACAUGGUCGCACUUGUCGGUGUUGUAUAAUAGGAUUUUUAAUUAGUGGCAUAGGAAAAUUUUCCCUAAGAUCCACUAUGAAGUUGAUUGAAAGUCCAUUUUCCUAAGAUCCACUAUGACAAUGAAAAAGAUUUCUGAAAACUAUGUCACCAUAAAUGUUCCAUCAUUGUCCAUAGCAGUCCCAUGCCAUAUUAAUUUCAGAAGAAUAAAUUCUUAUUCAGAUGUUCAUUGUGUUUUUAUGUACUGCUAUAUCUAAAAAAGCAACUUUCAGCUAAAACCAGAGCCGUGGUUAAGAUACUCUUCGCACCUAGGAUAUGUGUAUAUGUUCAGAUUGCUAACUUUAAACUAUAGUUUUAGAAAAUGUGGUGCCCUCGCUCAUUUUUCUAAUGCAUGAACUUAGGGUAAAUGUUUUAUGUGUAAUGCGUGCUUGAUUUCUUUUUGAUUCUGGCGGAUUUUGAUUUUCUCCACCAUGCUUCUCUCCAACGGGAUGAGUCUGUUUUUGCUACAACGGGUGAUGCAUGUGCUUAUUGUUGGCUGUUGGUAUGUGGUAUGCAUUUUCUCAUUGUUGGAUGUUUGUUGUUUGCUAUGAUUAAGAUACAUUGGCAUGUACAUUUUAUAUCAGUUUUGUUUUCAACACCACCUAUCACUGUAUAAUUUGCCGUUAAUAGAGUAGUUUCUCCUUUAUUGCAUUGCAUAAUGCUAGCAAGCUACAUUGCACCAUAAACAAAUAUAAUCCUCUUCCAAGGUUAAACCUGUUUUUUUCCUUCUAGCAAAGAUCUUCUCUGGAAAAGAUCAAUUCCGUUAGCCUAUAAUAUUGCAGUUCUUUCGUAUCCUUCAAAGAUUUAUAAAUAUUUUCUGUUUCCACUCCAUUCGUUCUCAUGGAUUCUGAAAAAAAUAUUUUUGUUUUUUGUUGAUUAAUAAUAUUGCUUUCCGUUUCAGUUUUGUGGUGGUCGAUGCAUGUAGAAUAUACAGACUUUCCUAGAAUGGCGCCUUUUAGUUUUUCUGCUUGAUGUUAGUUCAUUGAUGAGAACACCUAUGUACAUGAUUGCUGCAUGCAUGAUUUCCUACUAUAUACUGAGAAAUAUUUUUGUUUUCCGGACAUUGUUUUCUAAAUCCUAUCAACAUAUUACCUGAUAUGGUUUUUGAAGUUUCUAUUUUAUAGCGAGCUUUGCACUGGUCAACUUGAGUAUGGUAUUGUUAUCUUUUCUUUUGUUUACAGGCGAUGUGUGGUAGAAGCUGUACUCACAGGAAGACUAUUGUGUUGUGUAUAAACCAUGUUCUACGAUUCACUUCUGUUAUGCAUAUUUACUUUUCAGUUUUAGGACCGAAAUCCAUCCAUUGUAAUGAAUUUGGUUGUAUGGGCAUUACCUAUUUGACUUAGGCUUGCUUCAUCACAUAUAGACUGCUUUUCUUUUCCCCACUGCUUGUAUGACCUAAAACUAUCAUGUAUAUGAGGCAAGUUAUAAGCAAUGUUUCACAUUUUCUUACUUGAAA